rnacentral:ribozyme from 15 species
UAUGAAGCAUAGAAGUAUAAGAUGCACAAGAAUUGCUUUUCUAGAGUAUAUAUUUGCUGUUUGUGCACUCCCAUAGUUUCUAUGUUGUUUUUUUUUUUUCUUUUGUCUU